rnacentral:rRNA from 1 species
GUGGAGCAUGUGGUUUAAUUCGACACAACGCGCAAAACCUUACCAAUUUUUGACAUAAAUUAAGAGAUAUUCGUUGAGAAUGUUUGUUUUAGUUUACAGGUGCUGCAUGGCUGUCGUCAGUUCGUGGCGUGAGCUGUUGGGUUAAGUCCCAGAACGAACGCAACCCUCAGGGUUUUUGCUUUGAAUCAAAACCCCAACUGCCAGUGAGAUACGGGAGGAAGGAGAGGAUGACGUCAAGUCCGCAUGGCCCUUAUGAAUUGGGCUACACACGUGCUACAAUGG